UACGUAGGGGGCAAGCGUUGUCCGGAAUCAUUGGGCGUAAAGCGCGUGUAGGCGGCCCGGUAAGUCCGCUGUGAAAGUCCAGGGCUCAACCCUGGAAAGCCGGUGGAUACUGUCGGGCUAGAGUCCGGAAGAGGCGAGUGGAAUUCCUGGUGUAGCGGUGGAAUGCGCAGAUAUCAGGAGGAACACCGAUAGCGAAGGCAGCUCGCUGGGACGGUACUGACGCUGAGGCGCGAAAGCGUGGGGAGCGAACAGG
rnacentral:rRNA from 1 species